CCCCACUGUCCUGACAGCUGUGCUUUCAGCGCAAGCCAAGGGCCCUGGUGAGGACCUGGGGCCAGACGGCAGGUAGAGCGGGCCUGGGUUGGGGCGAGGAUUAAUUCCUGCAAAGGCACACAGGAAGCAAGGCGCUCCAUAAUGGAGCCACCGAGCCCAAAAUAGAUCCAUUCCACAAGAUGAGGAAGCAAGACCAGGAGAAGCCGACGAACACAGGCG